GUGCUUACUUCAGCAACACAUAUACCAAAAAUUGAUGCCAUUCAGAGAUUAUUAGCAGGGCCUCUGAACAAAGAGGAUGUGCAAAUUCAUGAAACAUUUUAUAUUUUU
ensembl:snRNA U6 U6 spliceosomal RNA